AUUGCGAUCAAGUUCACGUUUAUUUUGACAUCUCGAAGGUCUUCGAAUAAGGUCACCGGCAUUUUUGUAGCCUUCCUUGUAUACUGCAGCAUUGCCUGACCAGUUGACCCACUGACCGUUACUUUGAGGAGGCGCUUCCUGAGGAGCCGAUUCCUGAUGCAUUUAAAAAGAAUUGCCCUGGGCGUGCGGGCUGGGAGGCCACCUAUCGGCCAUUUCCAGUCGUCGCCGAGUUUUGGGACCCACGUGUUUAUCGGGAAAACUACCAUGUGUGAAACCAUGCAGAGUUCCAGUUGAACUUGUACAAGAUACUCCAUAAAAGUAUUGGAGCAGAUUCCUCGACUGGAACUAUACCGUACUAAUAUUAUUUACCAAUCUUUUCUGUCGUGCCCAUUCCGUGAUUGGAACCACCUUCCAGUGAACGUUUGGUUGUUGGAAGUAUUCUUUUUGCUAAGGUAUUGGAUAUAACUAGGGCUCCGUGUUUUCGGAGUUUAUUUUUCGUGAAAUUCGGAGGGUGUUUUUCGGAGUUUAUUUU